rnacentral:rRNA from 1 species
UACGGGAGGCAGCAGUGGGGAAUAUUGCACAAUGGGCGAAAGCCUGAUGCAGCUAUGCCGCGUGUAUGAAGAAGGCCUUAGGGUUGUAAAGUACUUUCAUCGGGGAGGAAAAAACAAAACUAAUAAUUUUAUUUCUUGACGUUACCCGAAAAAGAAGCACCGGCUAACUCCGUGCCAGCAGCCGCGGUAAUACGGAGGGUGCUAGCGUUAAUCAGAAUUACUGGGCGUAAAGAGCACGUAGGUGGUUUUUUUAAAGUCAGAUGUGAAAUUCCCUGGGCUUAACCUAGGAACUGCAUUUUGAAACUGAAAUACUAGAGUAUCGUAGAGGGAGGUAGAAUUCUAGGUGUAGCGGUGAAAUGCGUAGAUAUCUGGAGGAAUACCUGUGGCGAAAGCGGCCUCCUAAACGAAUACUGACACUGAGGUGCGAAAGCGUGGGGAGCAAACAGGGAUUAGAUACC